CCUACGGGUGGCAGCAGUGAGGAAUAUUGGUCAAUGGACGAGAGUCUGAACCAGCCAAGUAGCGUGAAGGAUGACUGCCCUAUGGGUUGUAAACUUCUUUUAUAUGGGAAUAAAAUGUUCCACGUGUGGGCUUUUGUAUGUACCAUAUGAAUAAGGAUCGGCUAACUCCGUGCCAGCAGCCGCGGUAAUACGGAGGAUCCGAGCGUUAUCCGGAUUUAUUGGGUUUAAAGGGAGCGUAGGUGGUUUGUUAAGUCAGUGGUGAAAGUUUGCGGCUCAACCGUAACAUUGCAGUUGAAACUGGCAGUCUUGAGUUCAGUAGAGGUAGGCGGAAUGCGUGGUGUAGCGGUGAAAUGCAUAGAUAUCACGAAGAACUCCGAUUGCGAAGGCAGCUCACUGGACUGCAACUGACGCUGAGGCUCGAAAGUGUGGGUAUCAAACAGGAUUAGAUACCCGAGUAGUC
rnacentral:rRNA from 1 species